UCUGGAGGAAAAGAGAUUCAGAAAAAUAGGUUAGGCACCCUUUCCCAGUAAGUCCAGCAUAAGUGAUUAGAAUGAUCAGUUAACCCUUUAUCCCCCAGCAUGGAACUUCAGUAGUUCAGUUCCUGCAUGAAUUUAUGGCAGUCAGAAGUCACUGACUUCAGGUUCCAGAUGUUUAUUUGGCAACUACAUCACAUCUCCCCCACAUGAUGGAUUUACUAAGCAGAUAGUGAUUUUCACAAAGACUGAGAAAAGAAUGGGAUAGAAAGACUUCCAUUUCAGUGUUUGAGUUCAUUGAAAAUGUGUACAUAAUUGAUAUGAAAGAAGAAACACUUGACUAACAGUGAAAUAUGAUAUGAACUGGUAUCCUGGGAGCUGUAAUUUUAACUCUGGAAGUCCUGGUUCUGGAAGGCAGACUGCGAAGUUCCUAUGCAAAGGACCAAAACCUCUGUAUGCAGAGGUUUGGGCCUGUCGGACAGCUUUGGUUUAUUUCUAGCUACUUGCAUCUAAAUCUGCAUAGUUUUCAGCUUCUGUCCAAUAACAUUUUUUCAAUGAAUCUGGAAUUGUAUGGGCUCAAGACAGAUGUUGACAAAAGGGCCAGUGGCACUGAAAUUCUUACCUCAUCAUAUCUGUCAUUGUAGUUGGUCUUGACAGCCUCAACCAACUUGGCUAGGGCUCCUUUAUCCUCACUGUGAUGAGAUGCUAGUGUUAGUUCCUUUGGAACACCAACAGAAAUAAUAGCAGCAUUUUCUGAGGAACCUUUUGUCUCAGGGUUAAAAAGCUCUUAAUGCCACAUGAUUUUUCAGGUGAAGAAAUUCUAUACACAUCAUUGGCAAAAGGUCCACCUCUACUAUUAAAACUACCAUUUAGCAUUGCCUCUCCAUGCAACAGACUGACAAUACUUUACAACUAUUCCCCCUCCCUGACAGGGAAUCAGAACCUAGGCUCCAGCCUGAGCCCAGAUGUCUACAAUGCAAUUCUAAAACCCCACAGUCCAAGCCUGAAUCAACUGUCCUGGACCACCACAGCCAUAGGUCUUAUUGCUGUGUAGACAUAUCCCGAGUUACACCUGUAUUAGCAAUGGUUUUUAAUCAGGCCCCAUAUAUUGUUCAGUUUGUUUUUUUAAGUCUGUAGGUACUUAGUCUAGAAUAGACAUCUGGUGUGGGUUUUUCCUUGGAAGAUUAUCUUCCCCUCCCACCCCCCAAUAUUUAACUAUGGGGAUUAGCUGUAUGCUCUCUGCUUCUGAACUGAUCAAAUUUAGAUUCUUAGAAAGAAUGAGAAGAAACACUUACGGGUUAACCUGUGUGAAGGCAACACUGGUGCAGGUCUUUCUGUGGACUAGCCGCCCCAGUCUGGCCUUGCCCUUGAUGAUACAGUACGGAACUCCCAUUUUGCGGCACAAGGCAGGCAGGAAGACCACCAACUAGAAAGAGAUUAAGGAUGUGUCGGGUCAGAGACCCAAGAAUGAAGACUAUCUCUUGGCUUUGCAACAUGCCAAGAAUAAAGCGUGGGCUUUGGCAAUUGCUCAGGGUUAAAAAGCUCGUGUAGUUUACUCUUCAUGGUUGAGUUUCAGGUGAAGAAAUUCAUACAUCAUUGCAAUGGCCAAGCCGCACCAUGUAAAAGCCAGGAACUUUAGCACUAGGACCAUUCAGUACAAUUCGGUUUAUUGUAUGUAUGUUCUGUACAACACAAAGUAAGAACAGUAACAAUUUAUCUCAGAUUCUUUCAAGGUUAGUUUUACUACUUCAUGCGGUUUUCUAUAAUGAACAAUGUCUUACCAUGCCUUUGCCUGAGCUAGACUCCAAACCUGGCAUAAUGCCAGUUAUGGAUUUACCCUUUCCUAGCUCAACGCAGUUAGAGAGCUGUUACUGAACUACUGCUCCAGACACCCCUAGAAGUCCAUACAAUAGAGGGAUCUGACCAGACCAUUAUUUUAGAACAGAGUACCUAGAAAAGAACAAGCCACUUACCUCAAUGGGGUCCACAUCAUGGGCAAUCACUACCAGCUGAGCUUUCUUGUUCUCUACUAGGGUAGUGACAGUGUUGACACCUGUAAAGAAAGUCAAUAAAGUAAGGUCUUUGGUGUGGCCAAGUUUUUGAAAAAGCCAAUAGAAGGCCUUUGAGCAUUACAUGGCUUGCCUAUAGAUCCACGAUUCAAGGGACAAUACUGUGUGGCCACCAGCUCUUACUGGUCAAGAUUUGCAAGUGAGGAAUAUUAUAUGGACAAUCUGCUAUAGCUCAGGGUUAAAAAGCUCGUUUUAUUUGCUCUUCAGUUUGCAUUUCAGGUGAAGAAAUUCAUACAUCAUUGCAAUAGCUUGUCCAAGUCAUUGAUUGAUGUGGAGAAGGAAGAAAACAGAAGAAAGCGAAGUAGCCUACUCUUUUCAGUUGUUCAACGAGGCCUUGUCUCUCUAGACGCCAAGGCAAGUUCACAGCACAAAUGUAGAAAGUUACCAGCUCUGAGGACAGGCGGUCUCUUAGUAGGAGCAUCCCCCUUUCCUGCAGCUUUCUGCUCAGCCCGAGCCAGCAGCCUCUGUUUCUUCUCUUGCUUGGUCUCAGGUCUGUAUUUGUGAGCCAGUUUCAGAAGCUGAGUAGCUGAAAGAUAA